rnacentral:rRNA from 1 species
CAAUAGCGUAUAUUUAAGUUGUUGCAGUUAAAAAGCUCGUAGUUGGAUUUCGGGUGGGACGCAGCGGUCUCGCAUUGCGUUUGUACUGCUGCGGCCCUCCUUCUUGCCGGGGGCGGCCUCUCGGACUUCACUGUCUGGGGGUCAGAAUCGGCGAUGUUACUUUGAGUAAAUUAGAGUGUUCAAAGCAAGCUUACGCUCUGAAUAUAAUAGCAUGGGAUAACACGACAGGACUCUGGCCUAUCGUGUUGGUCUAUAGGACCAGAGUAAUGAUUAAGAGGGACAGUCGGGGGCAUUCGUAUUCCGUUGUCAGAGGUGAAAUUCUUGGAUUUACGGAAGACGAACAUCUGCGAAAGCAUUUGCCAAGGAUGUUUUCAUUGA